ensembl:miRNA
AGAUAGUUGGUCCCGGCCCAGAGUUUCUGAUUUAGCAGAUCUGGGGUGGGGCCUAAGGAUGUGC